rnacentral:rRNA from 1 species
AUUGAACGCUGGCGGCAUACCUUACACAUGCAAGUCGAACGGCAGCACGGGAGCAAUCCUGGUGGCGAGUGGCGAACGGGUGAGUAAAGUAUCGGAACGUGCCCAGUCGUGGGGGAUAACGUAGCGAAAGUUACGCUAAUACCGCAUACGAUCUAUGGAUGAAAGCGGGGGAUCGCAAGACCUCGCGCGAUUGGAGCGGCCGAUAUCAGAUUAGGGAGUUGGUGGGGUAAAGGCUCACCAAGCCGACGAUCUGUAGCUGGUCUGAGAGGACGACCAGCCACACUGGGACUGAGACACGGCCCAGACUCCUACGGGAGGCAGCAGUGGGGAAUUUUGGACAAUGGGCGAAGGCCUGAUCCAGCCAUGCCGCGUGCAGGAUGAAGGCCUUCGGGUUGUAAACUGCUUUUGUACGGAACGAAAAGGUUUGGCCUAAUAAGCUGAGCUCAUGACGGUACCGUAAGAAUAAGCACCGGCUAACUACGUGCCAGCCGCCGCCGUAA